rnacentral:rRNA from 1 species
AGAGUUUGAUCAUGGCUCAGGACGAACGCUGGCGGCGUGCUUAACACAUGCAAGUCGAACGGAAAGGCCCUUCGGGGUACUCGAGUGGCGAACGGGUGAGUAACACGUGGGUGAUCUGCCCUGCACUUUGGGAUAAGCCUGGGAAACUGGGUCUAAUACCGAAUAGGACCACGCGCUUCAUGGUGUGUGGUGGAAAGCUUUUGCGGUGUGGGAUGGGCCCGCGGCCUAUCAGCUUGUUGGUGGGGUAAUGGCCUACCAAGGCGACGACGGGUAGCCGGCCUGAGAGGGUGACCGGCCACACUGGGACUGAGAUACGGCCCAGACUCUUACGGGAGGCAGCAGUGGGGAAUAUUGCACAAUGGGCGCAAGCCUGAUGCAGCGACGCCGCGUGAGGGAUGACGGCCUUCGGGUUGUAAACCUCUUUCAAUAGGGACGAAGCGCAAGUGACGGUACCUAUAGAAGAAGCACCGGCCAACUACGUGCCAGCAGCCGCGGUAAUACGUAGGGUGCGAGCGUUGUCCGGAAUUACUGGGCGUAAAGAGCUCGUAGGUGGUUUGUCGCGUUGUUCGUGAAAACUCACAGCUUAACUGUGGGCGUGCGGGCGAUACGGGCAGACUAGAGUACUGCAGGGGAGACUGGAAUUCCUGGUGUAGCGGUGGAAUGCGCAGAUAUCAGGAGGAACACCGGUGGCGAAGGCGGGUCUCUGGGCAGUAACUGACGCUGAGGAGCGAAAGCGUGGGGAGCGAACAGGAUUAGAUACCCUGGUAGUCCAA